rnacentral:rRNA from 1 species
AUUGAACGCUGGCGGCAUGCCUUACACAUGCAAGUCGAACGGCAGCACGGGGGCAACCCUGGUGGCGAGUGGCGAACGAGUGAGUAAUACAUCGGAACGUGCCCAGUAGUGGGGGAUAGCCCGGCGAAAGCCGGAUUAAUACCGCAUACGACCUACGGGUGAAAGCGGGGGAUCGCAAGACCUCGCGCUAUCGGAGCGGCCGAUGUCAGAUUAGGUUGUUGGUGGGGUAAAAGCCCACCAAGCCGACGAUCUGUAGCUGGUCUGAGAGGACGACCAGCCACACUGGGACUGAGACACGGCCCAGACUCCUACGGGAGGCAGCAGUGGGGAAUUUUGGACAAUGGGCGCAAGCCUGAUCCAGCCAUGCCGCGUGCGGGAAGAAGGCCUGGUUGUAA